GGGGAUCUAGCUCAUCGGUAGAGCGCUCGCUUAGCACCUUGUGUGCGAGAGGCGCAGGGUUCGACUCCCUGGUUCUCCA
rnacentral:tRNA from 1 species